rnacentral:rRNA from 1 species
UACGGAGGGUGCAAGCGUUAUCCGGAUUCACUGGGUUUAAAGGGUGCGUAGGUGGGUCUGUAAGUCCGUGGUGAAAUCUCCAAGCUUAACUUGGAAACUGCCAUGGAUACUAUAGGUCUUGAAUACCGUGGAGGUUAGCGGAAUAUGUCAUGUAGCGGUGAAAUGCUUAGAUAUGACAUAGAACACCAAUUGCGAAGGCAGCUCACUACACGAAUAUUGACACUGAGGCACGAAAGCGUGGGGAUCAAACAGG